AGAAAUCUUUUGUUAGUCCUAGAAACACUAACGAAUAAGGGGUGGGCAAGUUCUGGUGUCAGCCGCCGCGGUAAAACCAGCACCUCAAGUGGUCAGGAUGAUUAUUGGGCCUAAAGCAUCCGUAGCCGGCUCUGUAAGUUUUCGGUUAAAUCUGUACGCUCAACGUACAGGCUGCCGGGAAUACUGCAAAACUAGGGAGUGGGAGAGGUAGACGGUACUCGGUAGGAAGUGGUAAAAUGCUUUGAUCUAUCGAUGACCACCUGUGGCGAAGGCGGUCUACCAGAACACGUCCGACGGUGAGGGAUGAAAGCUGGGGGAGCAAACCGGAUUAAAUACCCGGGUAGUCCCAGCUGUAAACUAUGCAAACUCAGUGAUGCAUUGGCUUGUGGCCAAUGCAGUGCUGCAGGGAAGCCGUUAAGUUUGCCGCCUGGGAAGUACGUACGCAAGUAUGAAACUUAAA
rnacentral:rRNA from 1 species